UCAAACACCCGAACAGCAGAACCGGACGCCCCGGCGCGCCAGCCGGAUGGCGCGAAACUCAAGGCGGCGGCGACGGCGACGGCGGCUUGUGGUACCGUGGAGCUGGCCUCAUUAACAUAUGACCGGGUAAACUACGCCCACGGCAUGGCUGGCGACCUCUCCUCCGUCCACUGGAAGUGCCACCAGGUCAGCUUCUGCCCGCCUGCUUGCACGCCAGGUGCUUGUGUUUAUUCCCAUCCGUUUCUAGCUGGAGUAGCAACCUAGUGACCAUUGAAUGACCGAGCGUGGACGCCCCCUCACGCUUGCUCGGCUCCCCUGCGUGCUCCCUCAAUGCAAACAUUGUUACCCAAACCUGCCCUUUGUUUUAGUGUUACUUUUUACACACAAAAUCAAGUUAGUGUGUGUGAGCUCACCGUAUGCAUGUGUAAGCGAGUCAUGCCGAGUUUAGCGCGUCAGCAUUGCCAUGCUGAUCCCGACUGGUAGGCGUAGUGGACGCUGGAUGACGGUGCAUUCCCAUGGUAGGGAUGGCUGGAGUAGAUUGGAUUGUGAUCCUUUUCCUUGGCAUUUUCUGUUGAAUUAAAGCUGACCAAGUUGUGUUUUGGGGUAUGGAUUGUGAUCCAAGAAGAAGAAGAAGAAGAAGAAGAAGAAGAAGAAGAAGAAGAGAAGAGGUAGGGUGGUAACUAGUAAGAGCUGCAUCCACCCUUGCUUACCUUCAACAUACUAUGGGAAUGGGAUUCACAUAAGAGUUUAAGCAACAGUCCAGCUGUGUUUUUGUCCAAAGCAUGUAAAAUCUGAACAAGUCCUGCCCAGCGGGUCUACUUUCAAUCGGUAUAUAUGCACAUGUAAACAACAUAGACAACUAGGUCAUUCGAUGCAAAUCAAAUUAAGACGUGCUUCUGUAAAUACGGCUAGAGCGUUGCUGCCUAGGUACAUGAACCAUAUUCGAUGCAACUAGGUCAUUCGAUGCAAAUCAAGUUAAGACCUGUGGGGAGUUACUGACCUAUGUCUGGCUCCUUCUGUCCAACAUGGGGAUGGAGACCUUGCCAGAGAGACUGCUGAGGACGGAGCUUCCAAGCGGAUAAGGAAAUGCCUGCUCUGCUCCAUUGACUUCCCAGAUGCAUAAUUGGUGGUGACUUGCAGGCUAGCGUAUAUCCUGGCCUAUGUUUACAGAUGGCUGGAUCUGCUCCUCGAUCUAGCAGGAUGGAUGUAGCUACCUACUUGAUUCAAAUCAUUACUUUGCUUCCUCUGCUGGAACCUGGGGUUGAAGUUGGGAUUCUGCAUCUGGUCGGCCCUCAAUCACAGGCCAGGGAUGGCCAUGGUUUUUCCGCUUCAGAGUUGAGCUGGAUGCCCGUGCAGUGCACGAGUCUCCUGAACACAAUGAGCAUGCCGUGGUCUGUCGUCUGUUCCAGCAGCAACGUUCAUACGUUGUUGUCCACUACUCCAGUGCAGCAGCAGCCCGAAAAUAAUGGAGAGCUGAUUCUUAGGUAUGUGAAGAAAGGGUGGGAAGAUCAAAUCAAGGACCCGGGCAGUUACUGGAAGUUCAAUGAUCGCAGGGGGGCAGUGGAUGCUUCAUACGAACAAGUGCAACCAAGAUCUGGGUUGCAGCUUAAGGAGGCCAUUCGAUGAGUGUUCUUCUCUGGCACACCACCAUGGAUUUCUGCUUCUACUACAUUACAUGGGCACAUCAGCAGAUCGCCGAUGUACCACUGUUCGGUGUGUUCACAAUGCCUCUGGUGAAGGCCGUGGGUGUGCUGUCUGGUGCGGAAGAUCUCCUCACCACAGUAGAUCCUUAAGGAUGAUAAGACAAUCCAUGGAAGGUGAUUGAGGCCUGUGGGUGGAUAUGUUCUGCUUCUCCUCGGCCAGUAGCAGUAGGUGUCGAGGGUACCUACACGGCAAGAGUUUGGGCACCACGGAGGGGAGCUGCUCACAUAUACUCCUAUUUGGCUCCUGUCGCUCAUGGGGAUGGAAACCUUGCCCGAGAGGCUGCAGAUGACAGAGCUUUCGAGUGGACAAGGAAAUGCCGGCGCUGCUCCAUCAACUUCCCAGGCUAGUACCGCGAAGCCGUUUUUGAAAAUUGAUGUUUUUCUAUUCUGCAUUUGCUUAUUUUUGGAAGCUUUUUGUAGUUCAUACAUUGUGGUGUUCCAUUUGUCGCUGUUCCUCUUCUUCGGAACCGGCGACGGUA